rnacentral:lncRNA from 1 species
UAUGACUCUUACUCUGAUAUAUUUGCUUUCUAAGAUACCUUUUUCAAUUUUAAUUCUAAGUACACAGUGUGGAAGAUGCAAUUAGAAAAUGAAUUUAUUUUGGUGUUGCAUAUAUGACUGAUUUUCCAAAAUUAAUGGAAAAUGUGUAUUAUGAAAAAACUGUGCAGGUAUUUCAAAAUAUUUUUCACCAAAAUAAACUUAUCUUUCAUUUGGUCUUUUACUUAUUUUCUUCUUUAUUUGAAAGGCAGGGAGAGAAAGAGCCAUCUGCCGUCCUCCUUCUGGUUCACCUGCAACCGCCAGGACUGCGCAGGCGCAAGCUGGGAGUCGGGGCUUCCAUCCGGGGCUUCCACUGAGUGCCGGAACCGCCGCCUCCGCCAUCUUCUCUCCUUGUAUCUUCAGCCUCCAUUUUCCUUGUCUCUGUCAUGGAAAGAAGCUUAAAGUCGUCUCCCCAGCAGCGGAGCCACCUCCUCUGCACAGAGUCCCGAAGCUUUAUUUCCACUUCCUUAAUCCAAAUUUUCUUUGGGUGGCAAUAUCUCCAGCUUUGAGACUACGAAAAGUCCAUCUGUUCCCGGGAUGUCCUGCAGCGAGGCGGGGCUGUGUGACCUGGUGCAGACCAAGGGGGGUCAGCACUCGGGAAAGCAGCUUGCACAGAAACGAGGGUUUCCCUGCAGAUAGCAAACUCCACCCGCAAACUUUUGGUUUUGCUCUGGAUUCCAGAAAGCACAGCAGCUGUCUCGCCAUCAUGAAGACAGACACGUUGACAGGAUGCUCAGAAAGACAGAAGGUGUUUGCAUCCCUGGUGGACCAGGUGGUCCAUCCCCAGAAUUCCUGUUACGUGGGAAAAGUAAAUCCCUUUAUCCCAGCCACUAUAGUCUGGUUUCUGAUAGUUGGGAGUGAAAUACAAUCCUAACUGGUACAGCACCAGAUUUACUUGGAUUCAAAUUGACAACCCUGAUGCACCGUUUGGGUGACUUUAAGCAAGUUACCAAAGUCUCUGUAACUUAAUUAGCAUAUUGGUGAAACAAGGGACCUGUGAUGAUUGCCUCUCAGAAUGUAGAACUCAGAAACAGAUUCGUGUGUCUGUGGGAGGUUGAUAUAUGUUACAGGAGGCUUCACAAAUGAAUGGAGAAAGGUGAGAUUAUUUAGUAGGUGGUGCUGGGGAAACUCACUCACUCUGCAAGAAGAAUAUAAAAUUGGAUCCUUACUUCCUAUGAUAUGAAAAAAUCCUCAAAUGGAUUAAAAUCCUAUCUACGAAAGAUAAAAACUGUAAAACUAGUAGCAGAAAAAUGUAACAUUACAUCUUGGACAUGUUGGCAUGGGCAUGAAAUUUAAAAGCAAGAGCCAAAGAUACAAAUUUUAGGGGAAAAAUAAUGGAUUUACUGACAUAAAAAUCAAUAUAUUUUUAAGUAAAAGCUACCGUGACCAAAAUUAACAGAUGGGUGGAUCAGAGAAGACUUUUAAAAAAUUUCUUUAUUUGAAAAUCAGACUUAGGGAGAGGCAAAGGAAGAGAGCAAGAGAAAGAGAGAGAGAGAGAGAGAGAGAGAGAGAGAGAAGGAGAUAGAAAGAGUGGUCUUCCAUCUGCAGAUCCACUCCCCAAAUGGCUGCAAUGACCGGGGCUGGGCCAGGCCCAAGUCAGGAGCCAGGAGCUUCAUCCAGGUCUCCCACAUGGGUGCAGGGGUCUAAGCACUUGUGCCACCUUCCACUGCUUUCCCAUGCGCAUUAGCAUGGAGCUGGAUCAGAAUUGGAAUAGCCGGGACUUGGAUCGGUACUCACAUGGCUGCUGGUGCUGUAGAAUGCCCCUGGAGAAGACAUUUUUAACCUGAAACCAACAGGAAAUUGCUCUCUAGAAUCAAGAGUCUAGGCUUGCACUGUCCGGCAGAACUGCCGCCAGCCACACGAGGUGGUCGGGAGCUUUCUGUGUGACCUAGCUCACGUUGAGAUGCAAUGCAAGAGCAAAAUACAUGCUUGAUUCUAAAGUCAGUGUGUACAAGGGAAUAUAAAGUAUCUCAACACUUUUGACAUGUUUAUUAGAUGCUGAAAUGAUAAUAUUUUGUUGUUUUUUGAGUGAGAGACAGAGAAACAGAGAGAGCACUCCCAGCUCAAGUAUCUGGGUCCAAGCUGGCUAGGUCCGGCCAAGGUCGGGAGUUGGGAACUCACUCCAGGUCUCCUGUAUGGGUGGCAGGAAUGUAACUGCUUGAGCUAUCACCACUGCCUCCCAGGUUCUGCCUUAGCAGGAAGCUGGAGUCAGGAGCAGGAGCUGCGAAUUGAACCCAGGCCUUCUGAUGUGGAAUGCAGCUGUUCUAACUGGCGUCUCAGCUAUUGGGGCAAACAUCUGAUCCCUGAUAAUAUUUUAGAUAUUUUGGGUUAAAUAAAAAACACUGUUUGUGCCA